UGGGGAAUUUUGGACAAUGGGCGCAAGCCUGAUCCAGCCAUGCCGCGUGCAGGAUGAAGGCCUUCGGGUUGUAAACUGCUUUUGUACGGAACGAAAAGACUCCUUCUAAUAAAGGGGGUCCAUGACGGUACCGUAAGAAUAAGCACCGGCUAACUACGUGCCAGCAGCCGCGGUAAUACGUAGGGUGCGAGCGUUAAUCGGAAUUACUGGGCGUAAAGCGUGCGCAGGCGGGUAUAUAAGACAGAUGUGAAAUUCCCGGGCUCAACCUGGGACCUGCAUUUGUGACUGUAUAGCUGGAGUACGGUAGAGGGGGAUGGCAGUCCGCGUGUAGCAGUAAAAUGCGUAGAUAUGCAGGGGAAAACCGAUGGCGAAGGCAAUCCCCUGGACCUGUACUUGCGCUCAUGCAAGAAAGCGUGGAGAGCAAACA
rnacentral:rRNA from 1 species